ACACAUAGAGUCCAAUAUAGAGGUGUUUUGAAAUUAGGCAUUUGAUCUAUUCCCAUUUUACUAUAUAUAAUAUGUACAAUUGCUGCGCGCACACACGUAUGCAUGCCUGGAUCCUGAGUAUAGCUUCAGUAAGGCUUAAACCAACCAUGGACGCUGAUGUAAACUUACUUGAUUUCUUUCUUAAUAGAUGACAUUCGUUUAAACAUCCAAACUCUUCUACCAAGUUUAACAUCAUCUGAAUAAAGAAUUAAAGAAAACACAGUUUAUAUAUGGAGAGUAGUUUGAAACCGGUCAUUCCAAGGGAAAUCAAUACAA